rnacentral:rRNA from 1 species
CCUACGGGAGGCAGCAGUGGGGAAUUUUGGACAAUGGGCGCAAGCCUGAUCCAGCCAUGCCGCGUGUGGGAAGAAGGCCUUCGGGUUGUAAACCACUUUUGUCAGGGAAGAAACGGUCUGAUCUAAUACAUUGGGCUAAUGACGGUACCUGAAGAAUAAGCACCGGCUAACUACGUGCCAGCAGCCGCGGUAAUACGUAGGGUGCAAGCGUUAAUCGGAAUUACUGGGCGUAAAGCGUGCGCAGGCGGCUUUGCAAGACAGAUGUGAAAUCCCCGGGCUCAACCUGGGAACUGCAUUUGUGACUGCAUGGCUAGAGUACGGUAGAGGGGGAUGGAAUUCCGCGUGUAGCAGUGAAAUGCGUAGAUAUGCGGAGGAACACCGAUGGCGAAGGCAAUCCCCUGGACCUGUACUGACGCUCAUGCACGAAAGCGUGGGGAGCAAACAGGAUUAGAUACCCUGGUAGUCCACGCCCUAAACGAUGUCAACUGGUUGUUGGACGGCUUGCUGUUCAGUAACGAAGCUAACGCGUGAAGUUGACCGCCUGGGGAGUACGGCCGCAGGUUGAAACUCAAAGGAAUUGACGG